UUGAAGUACUGUAAAAGAAUAUAAAAAGAAUGUAAUACCUCCAUUGAACAUUGUAUACAAGAGUGAUGGAGCUCGUAAGAUUAGAUUAGUUUUAGUUUAUCCACUAUUGUUUUGAUUAUAACGCACCUAUAUCAAGAUAUGUACAUUUUCAUCAAUAUUAGCUCUUAUUUAUUAAUAUUGCUAUCACUAAUUCUUUCAGUAUUAUCAAUGGCGGCUUAUGCAGCUCUGGUUUCUCUUAUGCAGACCAUCCAUCAUCCUUCCCCUCCGAUUUCUAUGGACAAAAAACAAGUUGAAUCUCUAACUGAAAUUGUUAAGUUUUUGCAGGAAUUUCUUGAAGGUUAUAAGUCUCCUUUUGCUGAUGGCGAUGAAGCAGAUCCCUUGGAGAUGUGCAUCGCUGAUGCAGCUGAAAUAGUGGAACAACUUGUUCCUGUUGCCUCAGCGUCGAACUUCACCAGACUUGUAUGAAAGUGUGGUGAAGGUGAUAGAGGAUAUGUAUUUAAUCAAGAAAGAAGUGAUGGAGAUCAAAGAUCAACACACACAAACCAAGUCAUCUUCUCCCUCACAGCCAUGGUGGGGUUUGGUGAUGUGAUGCUUCAACUCAUGGAGGAGAAGCUCAUUUAUGGAUCGCCAGGAAUGGGAGGGAUCGACAUAUGCCUCAACUUCACUUCUAUGUUUAUCCCCGGGGCACAAAUGUAGGAGGAAUUGCAAGGAGAAGAUCAACUAUCCUCCCAACUUUAAAGUUUAUUGACAUUGAUUGUCAAGAACAAUUAUGUUUUUUCUAUCAUACUGAAAAGUGAAAACUCAUAAUUGCAUCUA